CUCUCAUGUGGGAGUCUCUUUUCAUUGAUUCACUCAAAUGCUGAGCUCAAUUUUGAGCGUAUUAAAAGUUUCU
rnacentral:ribozyme from 1 species